rnacentral:lncRNA from 1 species
CACUCGCAGUCCGUCUACUCACGUCCCCUAGUCAGCCUCUCACUCUCUACCCGCUGGGCGGUACCCCGCAUCUCGCUCUGGCCGCCCCAGAGGUUCGCGGCUUCUGGACCUGCUGUGCCCCUCUCCAGCCUGGAUCAGGACGGAGAACACCCCCGAAACCCACCUCACCAGCACAGCCGGCGGACCCUUCCGGAGGUGGCCGCAGAGACUAGCCAACUUGCGCGCCCGCCGACCCGGACCACAGCUCCCAGCACACCUCAAGGGCCCACGCCCGCCAGGACUACAAUUCCCGGCGUCCUCCGGAAGCUCAAGUGUACCCAGGCGCGGUGCCUGCUGGGAAUUGUAGUUGACGUUGGUCAGCACGGAGGCCACAGGAUCCCAGCCCGGCCUUUGUGGGACUGAGGUGGCGCUGAGUGGGAGAGCAGCAGGCGAUGCGCGAAAGGCGGGACUUGGAGAUAAAUACUGAGCACCCACAACAGGCAGCCAGCACCACUGCAGAUUGGAUACUGCAAUGAUGAUAAGCAUGGCCUGCCUUUAUGGAGUUCAAGGCAUGUGGUGAUCAUGCUGCCUAAGAGUAUCUUUGUUUACCUGAGGACCUUGGGCCAUGCCAAGUAUUUGUCAACAAUGUGAUUUAUGGUUCUGGAUGUUCCUGUGGAUAACCUCAAGGAGCACGGGACCUGGGACAUGACUGCCCCCAGCAUUCCUUCUGGCGGCAGACAGAGUUUGUCAGUUCGCCAACAUCCUGCUUUCAUGAGAACAGUUUGCUGUUUGCUCACAGAGCCUCCAGUGGUAUACUGAGUUGGUCACGACCCUCAUUCCUUCGGCCUCCAACAUCUCCCCUUUUGUUUUUGCAUUAAUUGAAUAAAGGUAAUUUCAGGCUGUGCAGCUUUCAA